AGACAGAGGUGGCAAGCGUUGUUCGGAUUUACUGGGCUUAAAGGGCGUGUAGGCGUCCUGGUAAGUCAGAUGUGGAAGCCUUGGGCUCAACCCAAGAAUUGCAUUUGAUACUGCCGGGAUUGAGUCGUGCAUGGGAGGGCGGAAUUCCUGGUGUAGCGGUGAAAUGCGUAGAUAUCAGGAGGAAGGCCGGUGGCGAAGGUGGCCCUCUGGGCAAUGACUGACGCUGAGGCGCGAAAGCGUGGGGAGCAACCAGGAUUAGAAACCCUAGUAGUCC
rnacentral:rRNA from 1 species